AGACAACCAGGAGGUUGGCUUAGAAGCAGCCAUCCUUGAAAGAGUGCGUAAUAGCUCACUGGUCAAGUGGUUCCGCGCCGACAAUGUAGCGGGGCUUAAGCACACCGCCGACGCCGCGGCAGUCCAUCGUGGUCCUAGCCUGUCCGUUGGGCGGGUUCAGGGGGUGGGCUGGGUAGGGGAGCGUCCCGCGUUGGGUGAAGUCUCGGGGUGACCCGGGGUGGACGGCGUGGGAGUGAGAAUGCAGGCAUGAGUAGCGAGAGGCGGGUGAGAAACCCGUCCGCCGAUUGACUAAGGGUUCCAGGGCCAGGUUGAUCCGCCCUGGGUUAGUCGGGUCCUAAGGCGAGGCCGACGGGCGUAGUCGAUGGACAACGGGUUGAUAUUCCCGUACCGGCGCUUGACCGUUCAAUGUUCGCCGGGGUGAUGCUAACCAUCCCCGAUCCUGUGUGUCUCUUUCGGGAGGCGUGUGGGGGAGGGCGUGGGGUCCGAGCCUGGGUGGGCAAGCGUGGUAACAGGUGUGACGCAGAGUGGUAGUCCAACCGUGUCGUAUGGCUGAGCACGGCUAAGGGUGUAGCCCGUCUCCCAGGUAAAUCCGGGGGGCGUUCGGGUCAGGCCUGAUGGGGACCGUUUGACGGGAAGUGGAUGAUCCUGUGCUGCCGAGAAAAGCAUCGACGUCAGGGCAAGCGCCGCCCGUACCCGAAACCGACACAGGUGGUCAGGUAGAGUAUACCGAGGCGUGCGAGUUAAUCGUGGUUAAGGAACUCGGCAAAAUGCCCCCGUAACUUCGGGAGAAGGGGGGCCCGGGCCUUGAUGUCCCCGUGCGGGGCGGAGGGGUCGGGGCCGCAGAGUCCAGGGAGAAGCGACUGUUUAUCAAAAACACAGGUGCGUGCUAAGCCGCAAGGCGAUGUAUACGCACUGACGCCUGCCCGGUGCUGGAAGGUUAAGCGGACUGGUCAGCCCUUCGGGGUGAAGCUGGGAAGUUAAGCCCCAGUAAACGGCGGUGGUAACUAUAACCAUCCUAAGGUAGCGAAAUUCCUUGUCGGGUAAGUUCCGACCUGCACGAAUGGCGUAACGACUUCUCCGCUGUCUCGACCACGAGCUCGGUGAAAUUGCAGUACGAGUAAAGAUGCUCGUUUCGCGCAGCAGGACGGAAAGACCCCGGGACCUUUACUAUAGCUUGGUAUUGGUGUUCGGUACGGCUUGUGUAGGAUAGGUGGGAGACUGUGAACCGGUCACGCUAGUGGGCGGGGAGUCGUUGGUGAAAUACCACUCUGGCCGUGCUGACCAUCUAACCUCGGUCCGUGAUCCGGGCCAGGGACAGUGCCUGGUGGGUAGUUUAACUGGGGCGGUUGCCUCCUAAAGGGUAACGGAGGCGCUCAAAGGUUCCCUCAGCCUGGUCGGCAACCAGGUGGCGAGUGUAAGUGCACAAGGGGGCUUGACUGUGAGACUGACGGGUCGAGCAGGUACGAAAGUAGGAACUAGUGAUCCGGCGAUCCCGUGUGGGUGGGUCGUCGCUCAACGGAUAAAAGGUACCCCGGGGAUAACAGGCUGAUCCUGCCCAAGAGUCCAUAUCGACGGCAUGGUUUGGCACCUCGAUGUCGGCUCGUCGCAUCCUGGGGCUGGAGUAGGUCCCAAGGGUUGGGCUGUUCGCCCAUUAAAGCGGUACGCGAGCUGGGUUCAGAACGUCGUGAGACAGUUCGGUCCCUAUCCGCUGCGCGCGUAGGAGAAUUGAGAAGGGCUGUCCCUAGUACGAGAGGACCGGGACGGACGAACCUCUGGUGUGCCAGUUGUUCCGCCAGGAGCAUGGCUGGUUGGCUACGUUCGGGAGGGAUAACCGCUGAAAGCAUCUAAGCGGGAAGCCUGCUUCAAGAUAAGUUCUCCAUCCAGCCUGUGUGCUGGGUGAGGUCCCCCGCAGACGACGGGGUUGAUAGGCCGGACGUGGACGCCUCGUAAGGGGUGGAGCUGACCGGUACUAAUGGACCGACCGCCUACACC
rnacentral:rRNA from 1 species